AUUGAACGCUGGCGGCAGGCUUAACACAUGCAAGUCGAGCGGAGCGAGGGUGCUUGCACCUUAGCUUAGCGGCGGACGGGUGAGUAAUGCUUAGGAAUCUGCCUAUUAGUGGGGGACAACAUUCCGAAAGGGAUGCUAAUACCGCAUACGCCCUACGGGGGAAAGCAGGGGAUCUUCGGACCUUGCGCUAAUAGAUGAGCCUAAGUCGGAUUAGCUAGUUGGUGGGGUAAAGGCCUACCAAGGCGACGAUCUGUAGCGGGUCUGAGAGGAUGAUCCGCCACACGGGGACUGAGACACGGCCCAGACUCCUACGGGAGGCAGCAGUGGGGAAUAUUGGACAAUGGGGGGAACCCUGAUCCAGCCAUGCCGCGUGUGUGAAGAAAGCCUUUUGGUUGUAAAGCACUUUAAGCGAGGAGGAGGCGCUCUAGGAUAAUACCCUAGAUGCGUGGACGUUACUCGCAGAAUAAGCACCGGCUAACUCUGUGCCAGCCGCCGCCGUAAGAC
rnacentral:rRNA from 1 species